rnacentral:rRNA from 1 species
CCUACGGGUGGCAGCAGUGAGGAAUAUUGGUCAAUGGCCGGAAGGCUGAACCAGCCAAGCCGCGUGAAGGACGAAGGUGCCAAGCAUUGUAAACUUCUUUUGUCAAGGGACAAAAUCAGGCUCGAGAGCCUGACCGAGUGUAUCCGAAGAAAAAGCAUCGGCUAACUCCGUGCCAGCAGCCGCGGUAAUACGGAGGAUGCGAGCGUUAUCCGGAUUUAUUGGGUUUAAAGGGUGCGUAGGCGGUCUGUUAAGUCAGCGGUAAAAUGGCGGGGCUCAACCCCGGCGAGCAGUUGAAACUGGCAGACGUGAGUGGGCGAGAAGUACGCGGAAGGCGCGGUGUAUCGGUGAAAUGCAUAGAGAGCGCGCAGAACGACGAUGGCGAAGGCAGCGUACCGGCGACAGACUGACGCUGAGGCACGAAAGCGUGGGGAGCGAACAGGAUGAGAGAACCCGGUAGUU